rnacentral:rRNA from 1 species
GACGAAUGCUGGCUGCGUGCUUAACACAUGCAAGUCGAACGGUGAAGGAGGGCUUGCCCUCCGGAUCAGUGGCGAACGGGUGAGUAACACGUGGGCAACCUGCCCCUCACUCUGGGAUAACGCCGGGAAACCGGCGCUAAUACCGGAUACGACCAGGCGCGACAUCUCGCCUGGUGGAAAGAAUUUCGGUGAGGGAUGGGCCCGCGGCCUAUCAGCUAGUUGGUGGGGUAACGGCCCACCAAGGCGACGACGGGUAGCCGGCCUGAGAGGGCGACCGGCCACACUGGGACUGAGACACGGCCCAGACUCCUACGGGAGGCAGCAGUGGGGAAUAUUGCGCAAUGGGCGAAAGCCUGACGCAGCGACGCAGCGUGAGGGACGAAGGCCUUCGGGUUGUAAACCUCUUUCAGCGGGGACGAAGCGAAAGUGACGGUACCCGCAGAAGAAGCACCGGCUAACUACGUGCCAGCCGCCGCAGUAAAAC